rnacentral:tRNA from 1 species
GCGGGGUCGUUCAGCGGCAGGACCCCGGGCUUCCAACCAGGCGACGCGGGUUCGAUCCCCGCACCUCGUA